rnacentral:rRNA from 1 species
AUUGGACCUGAUAUUCAACGG